GGUUUUCAACAAUAGUAGAAUUUUAAAAGAUGGAUGAACAAACAAAUUGGAUAAAACUUAAGUAAACAGGCAUUCGUCUAAUAAACAGUCAAAAGAAAUUAGGGUUUUUAACAUGAAAACUCAGGUAGAACAACGAUAUGAGCAAACAUAGCAAAAUAUGUCAAAAGCAGAGAAAAGUUUUGAAAUACCUUAACAAGAACCCUAAUCGAAAAAGAUACGGGGUUUGGAAAGCAGAGUUUGAAAAGAAACUUCGAGAAAAAUGCUUAAAAGUCCAAAGCAAACAUAUAUCUGACGCAAAUCUAAAAGAAAUCGAAAGAACCUUAGAGGUUAGGGUUUCAUAAGAACCUCAAGUGAUGAGAAAGGCCUUGAAAACCAUCGAUCUAAGCAGGAGAAUCAAAAGUCUGCCUCGAAUAGCCAUGGCUGACCGGACAAAGGUCAGAGACAACCGGAGAACAGGCAUUGAACAAGGACUGGACAAAACCCCUUCAUGAUCUUGAAGUGAGACCACAUAAUCAAACACGUAGAAGCCAUGGGAGGUUGAUACAAGUCUCUGAUGACCUUGGAAGCCAUAGAUUUGGGAGGUACUAGGGUUGUAGCGGCUAGGGUUUGAUGUGGUUGUAAAGAUGAUUUGGGAGAUGAGGGGUUUCAGAGGUGGCGGAUU
rnacentral:lncRNA from 1 species